rnacentral:misc_RNA from 1 species
AGGUGAACCUGCGGAAGGAUCAUUAACAAAUCAAUUGUGGUGGUGAUGGUAUGUAUGUAAUGUUGGGUUCAACAUUGCAUGUCUUACCCACACCUAACAUUUGUGCUCCAGGCAUUUCGUCUGGGUGCAACAUUAAUUCAUUAUUGUCAGUUGUUUGUCUAUUUUAAAUUUAUAAUCAUACUUUUAACAAUGGAUCUCUUGGCUCUUG